rnacentral:tRNA from 1 species
UGGGAUGUAGCUCAGUGGUAGAGUACUUGCCUGGCAUGCAUGAGGCUCUGGGUUCAAUGCCAGCACUACAC